CCGCCUCUCCAACCGCCGGCGAUGCCUCCCCCGGCGGGGCUGCUCCCCUGGCCGUCCCCGACCGCCCCGGCGCCGCGUAUCACCACCACGACCCAGCCGCGACCACCGCCUCGCGUUCGCCCUCCUCCUCCUCCCCCUCCCCCUCGCCGCGCCCCGCAGCCACCUCCGCGGCUCAAGCCGGUCGUCGCGCCAAAACCGGCCACCUCCCUGCCCCCGCCGCCCGUCAUUGUCUCCACCAUGGACCCCGCCUCCACCUGCCUCAACUGCCCCCACUUCGGCUCGUGCUCCGGGUGCACGCACGAGUUCGACCUCGAUAAGCCGCCGGUGCUGCAGGAGGUGGCGGAUUUCUUCAGUGGCCACGGAAUCGAAGACUUCACCUUCAGCAGGGGCAGGCUGUCAGAAUGGCGGUGCCGGGCGAAGCUAGCGGUACGUGGAACACCAGAGAAACCGCUAAUUGGCCUGUAUCAGGAAGGGACACAUACUGUUCAAGAUAUUCCCGACUGCAGAGCCCAUCACCCAAGCAUUAACUAUGCUAUUAAGCUUCUGAAGCAAGGUAUAUCUGAGCUCAGUGUGCAGCCUUUUGAUGAAGAUGCUGGUACUGGUGAACUAAGAUACGUGCAGAUGACCGUGACGACAUAUAACACGUCUAUUCCAGUUGCGCAAAGAUACGAGCAAGCGAGAGUUCAAGUUUCAUUGGUUUGGAAUUCAAGAGACGAGCGCUCCAAAAAUUCAGAGAAGUUGAGUUUGUUGCAAGAAUUCUUAUGGACAAAUGGUGGACCAAGAAGUAAUUUGCAUGUGAUUCACUCUAUAUGGGCCAAUUUCCAGACAUCAACCAGCAAUAUAAUUUUUGGGCAUAAAUGGAGACAUAUCGGCGGGGAGGCAGAUCUGUGGGAGCGUUUUGGGGGAGUUGAUAUUUGUCUUGACCCUUAUAGCUUUGGGCAGGCUAAUACUCUGUCUUUUAACUCGUUACUGCAUAAGUUGAUCAAAUAUGUACCACGGGGCUCAACAGUUGUUGAUUUGUACUCUGGUGCCGGUGUUAUUGGGUUAGCCAUCGCGGCUUCUAGGAAAUGCAGGUCUGUGAGAUGUGUUGAGAUCAACAAAAUGUCGAAAUUGUCUUUUGAGAAGUCAGCAAGCCGACUUCCACCAAACCUGGGUUGCACCAUAACUUGGCACAAUACCGAUGCUUCAGCUGAACCCAUUCACUGGCUUGAAGGGUCAAGUGUUGCUAUCGUGGAUCCUCCCAGGAAAGGACUGCACCCUUCUGUUAUCAAUGCUCUACAGAGAGUUGCUUUAUCUGAGCGCAAGGCGUUCAAGGCCAAAAGUUCACUUACAAAGGUCAAAGAUGAGAAGAGACCAUGGAUCCUGCGAGCAAGGGAACCAGCUGUUCAUGUUGAUAGUACAAUCAUGGAAGAAAGUAGUGGAAUAUGGCCAGAGACCCUCAUAUACAUCAGCUGCGGAUGGGACAGUUUUAAAAAGGAUUGCAAAAGCUUGAUAUCCAACGAGGCCUGGUAUUUAGAGAAUGCACAUGCUUUUAACUUCUUCCCGGGCACUGAUAGCAUCGAAGUCCUGGCGAUCUUCAGACGGGACUCUGGAAUUGCUCAGAAGAAAACAAAAACAAAAACAAAAGGAAAAACGAAAACAAAAGUGAAAAAGAAGAAAGCCAAGCCAUCGAAAGUCUGA
rnacentral:rRNA from 1 species